GACGAACGCUGGCGGCGUGCUUAACACAUGCAAGUCGAACGGAAAGGCCCUGCUUUUGUGGGGUGCUCGAGUGGCGAACGGGUGAGUAACACGUGAGUAACCUGCCCUUGACUUUGGGAUAACUUCAGGAAACUGGGGCUAAUACCGGAUAGGAGCUCCUGCUGCAUGGUGGGGGUUGGAAAUUUUCGGCGUUUGGGGAUGGACUCGCGGCUUAUCAGCUUGUUGGUGGGGUAGUGGCUUACCAAGGCUUUGACGGGUAGCCGGCCUGAGAGGGUGACCGGCGAAAUUGGGACUGAGAUACGGACCAGACUCCUACGGGAGGCAGCAGUGGGGAAUAUUGCACAAUGGGCGGAAGCCUGAUGCAGCAACGCCGCGUGCGGGAUGACGGCCUUCGGGUUGUAAACCGCUUUCGCCUGUGACGAAGCGUGAGUGACGGUAAUGGGUAAAGAAGCACCGGCUAACUACGUG
rnacentral:rRNA from 1 species